CUGCCAGCUUCUCAGUCUGCUAGCUUUCUGAUUAAAAUCAUUAUUCCUUGUUCCAAGAACUCAUCUCCCAAUUUAUUGGCCUGUUGUGAGAGGAGAUGAAACGAUUCGGGAAUGUUGUGCAGCUACUUUUCACAUGAAGUGAGUAGCAGAGGAAGCCAUGGCAAUUAAAGAAAAAGGAACUCCAGAGGUUAAGAGAAACUGAAGUAAAAGAGCAGUGAGUUCCACAUGCUUCCUGAGGCCAGCAGCCCCCUCCAGCCCUGAAAUUCUUCUUAUAAUAAAUUCUUCACUGCUUA